rnacentral:rRNA from 1 species
UACGUAGGGGGCUAGCGUUGUCCGGAAUCAUUGGGCGUAAAGCGCGCGUAGGCGGCCCGGUAAGUCCGCUCUGAAAGUCCGGGGCUCAACCCCGGGAGGCGGAUGGAUACGUGCAAGGCUCGAGUCCGGAAGAGGCGAGUGGAAUUCCCGGUGUAGCGGUGAAAUGCGCAGAUAUCGGGAGGAACACCAAUGGCGAAGGCAGCUCGCUGGGACGGUACGUGACGCUGAGACGCGAAAGCGUGGGGAGCAACAGG